GUGGCUCCUCGAGGCGUUGCAGCGCAGCUGAAUGUGCUGUGUCUGUGUCAUGAGGAAGCAAAGAGCAGCAGGGCGCUAGAAACUACACU
ensembl:snoRNA